rnacentral:snRNA from 1 species
GCUUGCUUUGGCAGCACAUAUACUAAAGCUGGAAUAAUACAGAGAAAAUUAGCAUGGCCCUUGCGCUAGGAUGACA